rnacentral:rRNA from 1 species
UACGUAGGGAGCAAGCGUUGUCCGGAAUCAUUGGGCGUAAAGCGCGCGUCGGCGGCCCUGUAAGUCCGUUGUGAAAGUCAAAGGCUCAACCGUUGAAAGCCGAUGGAUACUGCAGGGCUAGAGUCCGGAAGAGGCGAGUGGAAUUCCUGGUGUAGCGGUGAAAUGCGCAGAUAUCAGGAGGAACACCGGUGGCGAAGGCGGGUCUCUGGGCAGUAACUGACGCUGAGGAGCGAAAGCGUGGGGAGCAAAAAGG